rnacentral:lncRNA from 1 species
UCCCAAGGAGAAACGACUACCUCAUAUCUUUAAGGGAAAAGAAAGAUUAAAGGUAAUUCCAAUUUUAAAAAAAACAGUGUAUUUUGUUUGAGAGCAAAGAUGUGCUAGCCCAUGUUUGCAGUGCUGUAGAGUGUCCAGACAAGGGGAUCUUAUCUGGACAGCUUUGUACAUACAUGUCCUGGACCUCCUACACAACCUCAGUCCCAACUGCAUCCUUCUCAACUGAUCGUUUAAGAUGUAAGUAAAAAUAAAUUACACUAGGAAUAUAACAAACCAGAAAUUAAUAAGCCUAUUAAGUUCUAUAAACUAUUGUUUCCCAAAGUCUCUCUUUAAUUGUUUAUAUCCUGGGCACCCUUCCGCUUGUGGGACUGAUGGAUAACUCCCCUGGAAGUUAUGUAAUAUAAUAGGCUAUGCAAGCUACCUACCUUGAUUCCAGGAGGAAGAAGGCUGCUGAGUGAGGGAAGCUCAGGUUGAAGUCAGGACUGGGUGAGCACAGGGUCACUGCCCACAUAGGGGAGGAGCAAGCUGCGGAGCAAGCGGCGGUGCAGCGGAGCUGCGGCAGGUGGAGUGGUGGGGCCUCCCUGGGGCUGCGCGGGGGACAGAUGGGUAGGGAGGACAGACACAAAUACUACAGAAAUGAAAAUCCCUGUAGAUCUGGAAAAGGUCUGGCCCUGGACUUGAAGCUUGGGCUGAGAACCUCUACACUGUGUACCUUCAGCACACUCUAAAUCUAAGGGAGGUGCUCGA